UAUAAGAUUCAAAAGUUGAGGACAAUGUGCAUGUGAUGGUGCACAAACAGGAUUAGAUUUCAUGUGACUCCUUUCCUUUUAAUGAGAAUGCCGGAAAUAGAAGGGAUGGUGCGUGUGGUUGCAUGUUUCUUAUUAUUAUACCUAUAU
rnacentral:sRNA from 1 species